CUCCAACAAGAAUGAGCCAUCCAACUUCUGGGAAUUCGAUCUGUGCUGGACUUUUGGCAAAAGUGAAAGAGCGUGAUGAUCUAUACUUUGUUUUGACAGAACUUGGAGGCAGCACUCUCUUCAAACGACAAUCAAAAAUAAUUCCUGGAGACCACACAGAUGAAAGCCAAGAGGAAAAUCACAGUUUAGACGUGAUCACAGAAGUAUACAGAGAAGCCUGAGGCAAUGGUGGCAAGGAAAAUCUCCCUGAGACGAAAUGAGGAAGAAACACUGAGAGGAACCAGACUCAGAAAGGAACGUCUUCCUCAUUUGGGUGACACCAGAAAAUUUAACACUAAUUCCUUCCUGACAAAAUCUGAUGAAGACCUGAGUGCAAAGAUGACCGCCGCAACAGCAGUUCGAAGAUGGUGUGAUAGUCUCCAAGUACUAUUGACACAGUAAUUUAGAAAAGCAGACAGUAUUAUGCCUUUAAUAUUAUUAUCACAUAUACAUUGCAGCACAAUGAAAUUCUUUCUUCGUAUAUUCCAACUUUGGGGGUUGGGGUCAAGGUGCAGGGUCAGCCAUGAUGCAGCACCCCUGGAGCAUGGGCCACUGGGGUCUUGCUCAGGGGCAUGACAAUGGCAGCUUGGCCAUUCUAUUAAUUACAAAUUGUUAGAAGCAUAAGAAUACAAACUUUUUCACAGGUUCUGUUUUUAGUAUCAGACGAGCGAAGCUGGUGUACAGUACAAUAUGAGCAGUUAACACACUUUUUAAAACAUGUUCUUUUUUAAAUCUGAAUACAAACAAAGAGUUUUGAGUCCUUCAUACUUCAUUUCUAAUGUCCAUUUCCAUUUUCCUUCAUACUUCAUUUUAAUGUCCAUUAAAUAUUAAUGACUCAUAUUCUAAUAUUAAUGUCAUAAAUAUUUUCCUCAUCAUUUUCAUCUUGACACUAAAAGCAAACACAACAGAUUUCAUCACUCAGUUUAAUUAACAACAGAAAUGUAAUAAUUCACAUGCAAAUAAAUAGAUUGUUAUUCAGUUCAUUUCCUAAUUUCCUUUUCCCUUUCAAAUAACAUUGAAUAGAAGAAUCUGAAUGCAUUAAUUAUUUAAAUGUCCUGAAUACAAGAACCUGAUUGAUUGGAUUAUGAAGUGCACAGAUGUGUGUUUAUACGGUAUGUUGGAUGCGUGAGCACUUUUUGGAGAGGUCAGAGAGAGCCAUGAGCAAAUAGAGUCAUGUGACUUACUGCAAGAAAAGUGAUGUUGUUGUUUAGUAGAUAAUAAUUAUUAUUAUUAAUAAUUAAUUCU